AGGUAGGAAUACCCGCUGAACUUUAAGCAUAUCAAUAAGCGGAGGAAAAGAAACCAACAGGGAUUGCCCUAGUAACGGCGAGUAAGCGGCAACAGCUCAAAUUUGAAAGCUGGCUCCGGCCCGCGUUGUAAUUUGCAGAGGAUGCUUCUGGCGAGGUGCCUUCCGAGUUCCCUGGAACGGGACGCCAUAGAGGGUGAGAGCCCCGUAUGGAUGGACACCAGACCUGUGUGAAGCUCCUUCAACGAGUCGAGUAGUUUGGGAAUGCUGCUCUAAAUGGGAGGUAAAUCUCUUCUAAAGCUAAAUACCGGCCAGAGACCGAUAGCGCACAAGUAGAGUGAUCGAAAGAUGAAAAGCACCUUGAAAAGGGGGUUAAACAGUACGUGAAAUUGUUGAAAGGGAAGCGCUUGUGACCAGACUUGCGCCGGGCGGCUCAUCAGGGGUUCUCCCCUGUGCACUCCGCCCGGCUCAGGCCAGCAUCGGUUCUCGUGGGAGGAUAAGAACGGCAGGAACGUGGCCCCCCUCCGGGGGGGUGUUAUAGCCUGCCGUACGAUACUCCCGUGGGGACCGAGGUUCGCGCUCCGCAAGGAUGCUGG
rnacentral:rRNA from 1 species